GACGAACGCUGGCGGCGUGCUUAACACAUGCAAGUCGAGCGAUGAAGUUCCUUCGGGAACGGAUUAGCGGCGGACGGGUGAGUAACACGUGGGUAACCUGCCUCAUAGAGGGGAAUAGCCUUCCGAAAGGAAGAUUAAUACCGCAUAAGAUUGUAAUGCUGCAUGGCAUAUCAAUUACAGGAGCAAUCCGCUAUGAGAUGGACCCGCGUCGCAUUAGCUAGUUGGUGAGGUAACGGCUCACCAAGGCGACGAUGCGUAGCCGACCUUAGAGGGUGAUCGGCCACAUUGGGACUGAGACACGGCCCAGACUCCUACGGGAGGCAGCAGUGGGGAAUAUUGCACAAUGGGGGAAACCCUGAUGCAGCAACGCCGCGUGAGUGAUGACGGUCUUCGGAUUGUAAAGCUCUGUCUUCAGGGACGAUAAUGACGGUACCUGAGGAGGAAGCCACGGCUAACUACGUGCCAGCAGCCGCGGUAA
rnacentral:rRNA from 1 species